rnacentral:rRNA from 1 species
UACGUAGGGUGCAAGCGUUGUCCGGAAUUAUUGGGCGUAAAGAGCUCGUAGGCGGUUUUGUUGCGUCGGCUGUGAAAUCCCGAGGCUCAACCUCGGGUCUGCAGUCGAUACGAGCAAACUAGAGUGUUGCAGGGGGAGACUGGAAUUCCUGGUGUAGCGGUGGAAUGCGCAGAUAUCAGGAGGAACACCGGUGGCGAAGGCGCCACUCUGAGCCGGUACUGACGCUGAGGAGCGAAAAGCGUGGGGAGCGAACAGG